rnacentral:rRNA from 1 species
GACGAACGCUGGCGGCGUGCUUAACACAUGCAAGUCGAGCGGUAAGGCCCUUUCGGGGGUACACGAGCGGCGAACGGGUGAGUAACACGUGGGUGACCUGCCCUCAGCUCUGGGAUAAGCCUGGGAAACUGGGUCUAAUACUGGAUAUGACUCCACGGUGCAUGUCGUGGGGUGGAAAGCCUUGUGCGGCUGAGGAUGGGCCCGCGGCCUAUCAGCUUGUUGGUGGGGNGAUGGCCUACCAAGGCGACGACGGGUAGCCGGCCUGAGAGGGCGACCGGCCACACUGGGACUGAGACACGGCCAGACUCCUACGGGAGGCAGCAGUGGGGAAUCUUGCGCAAUGGGCGAAAGCCUGACGCAGCGACGCCGCGUGA